CGAGUUCUGGUGGGAAACAACAGUGGCAGCUGAGGCAGAAACCUGGGAUGCAAGUAGACUGCCCGGGCAUGGAGAGAGAAGAAAUGAUGCUUUGUGUUGAGCUGGAAGAGAGUACAAGGUGCUUCUGGAAAAUUUCAAGCCUCGAUUAUCGCUAUACCUGGUGGCAGAAGUGGUUUG